UCCCGCGCUCCGUGGCUGGGGCGGGGCUGCGCGUGAGGGUGGGGCGCGGGCCGAGGCGAGACGUGGCGGACCAGGCCGCCGGAGCAGUGCCUGGGUUUCAGCCUUGUGGCUCAGUUGCCUUCGCAGACCGGAGCAGUGUGGAGGGGCUGAAAAGGACGAUGAGGACACCACCUGGGAGAGAUGGAGAUGCUUCUAUGGGCCACAAGUGGCUUUCAAGGAAGCCUUGAUUUCUAGAUGUGUUUUCUGCCAACUCAAUUUCCUGAAGACAAAAUUGGUCCACUAGAAGAGUCCAGAUUGUCUUUGAAAGAAUGGCAUGAGGAGAAGAAACAAACGGUUUAUAAGAUUUUUGGAAUAUCUACAGAAAAUGCAGAUGGCUUGUGGCACGAAGAUGAAGCAUCCAUAUGGUUUCCUGACUUAUUUUCUGACAUUGAGACUUGUAUAUAUCUUGAGUGUGUAUAAGCAAAGAGUGGCUGUACUUUUUUAAAAGAUGUAUUUAUUAAUCAGUGUCCUCUGCAUU